AUUGAACGCUGGCGGCAGGCCUAACACAUGCAAGUCGAGCGGAUGAAGGGAGCUUGCUCCUGGAUUCAGCGGCGGACGGGUGAGUAAUGCCUAGGAAUCUGCCUGGUAGUGGGGGAUAACGUCCGGAAACGGGCGCUAAUACCGCAUACGUCCUGAGGGAGAAAGUGGGGGAUCUUCGGACCUCACGCUAUCAGAUGAGACUAGGUCGGAUUAGCUAGUUGGUGGGGUAAAGGCCUACCAAGGCGACGAUCCGUAACUGGUCUGAGAGGAUGAUCAGUCACACUGGAACUGAGACACGGUCCAGACUCCUACGGGAGGCAGCAGUGGGGAAUAUUGGACGAUGGGCGAAAGCCUGAUCCAGCCAUGCCGCGUGUGUGAAGAAGGUCUUCGGAUUGUAAAGCACUUUAAGUUGGGAGGAAGGGCAGUAAGUUAAUACCUUGCUGUUUUGACGUUACCAACAGAAUAAGCACCGGCUAACUUCGUG
rnacentral:rRNA from 1 species